rnacentral:rRNA from 1 species
CCCUUAGAUGUUCUGGGCCGCACGCGCGCUACACUGACGAUGGCAACGAGUUUUUCCUUCGCCGAAAGUUGUGGGUAAUCUUUUGAAACAUCGUCGUGCUGGGGAUAGAUCAUUGCAAUUUUUGAUCUUGAACGAGGAAUUCCUAGUAAGCGCGAGUCAUCAGCUCGCGUUGAUUACGUCCCUGCCCUUUGUACACACCGCCCGUCGCUACUACCGAUUGAAUGGUUUAGUGAGGACUCCUGAUUGGCGCCGCCGCCCCGGCAACGGAGCAGCGGACUGCCGAAAAGUUGUUCAAACUUGAUCAUUUAGAGGAAGUAAAAGUCGUAACA